GUUCUCGGGGACUGUACCAGGCUCCUGGCCCUUCCAUGUGGGCUUCUCCCCCAUCUCUCCUUCUUGGAUGCCAUGAGUUGAGCAGCUUUCCUCUGCUACACUUUGCAACAUGAUGUUUUUGCCCUGCAAGCAGCCAACCAUGGACUGAAACACCUGGAACCGGUAUUAAAGAAAAGGGAAUGAUGACUUCUCAUGAAGCCAUUCAGGAACAUCAGAGAAUAUACCUGAAGUGUUUUUAUAUCUUGGCAAAGAUGACUAAGGACAGACAAGGUCUCUAGAGGAACAAAAUCAGCAGAAAACAGGCAAGGGUCUUCAGCUAGGCUUCUGGGAGGAGAGCGGACCCUCCACGAUGGCGUCCCCCAGCCAGCUGACUUCCUCCUCCUUCCCCCAGUCCAUCAGCUUCAAGCUUAUUGGAUGACGCCCCCCACAGGCAGGGUUGUCUCCCCAUCAGCAUCAGCAUGCCCGCCCGGUGCCAACUGUCUCAGGGGUACACCCGGAAGUGCGCUACCCCAAGCUGCAAGGCAUUUCUUAAUCUGGCCAAGGCGACAAUCACAAUUCCAGUUCACAG
rnacentral:lncRNA from 1 species